AACUGUAGAAUUGCCUUUGAUACUGGUCGUCUUGAAUUAUUGUGAAGUGGUUAGAAUAUGUAGUGUAGCGGUGAAAUGCAUAGAUAUUACAUAGAAUACCAAUUGCGAAGGCAGAUUACUAACAAUAUACUGACACUGAUGGACGAAAGCGUGGGGAGCGAACGGGAUUAGAUACCCCGGUAGUCCACGCCGUAAACGAUGGUCACUAGCUGUUCGGACUUCGGUCUGAGUGGCUAAGCGAAAGUGAUAAGUGACCCACCUGGGGAGUACGUUCGCAAGAAUGAAACUCAAAGGAAUUGACGGGGGCCCGCACAAGCGGUGGAGCAUGUGGUUUAAUUCGAUGAUACGCGAGGAACCUUACCAGGGCUUAAAUGUAAGUUGCAUGGGGUAGAGAUACCCCUUUCUUCGGACUACUUACAAGGUGCUG
rnacentral:rRNA from 15 species